AUUGAACGCUGGUGGCAGGCUUAACACAUGCAAGUCGAACGGUAACAGGAAUUAGCUUGCUAAUUUGCUGACGAGUGGCGGACGGGUGAGUAAUGCUUGGGAAUCUGGCUUAUGGAGGGGGAUAACUACGGGAAACUGUAGCUAAUACCGCGUAAAAUCUUCGGAUUAAAGGGUGGGACUUUCGAGCCACCUGCCAUACGAUGAGCCCAAGUGGGAUUAGGUAGUUGGUUAGGUAAAGGCUGACCAAGCCGACGAUCUCUAGCUGGUCUGAGAGGAUGACCAGCCACACUGGAACUGAGACACGGUCCAGACUCCUACGGGAGGCAGCAGUGGGGAAUAUUGCACAAGGGGGGGAACCCUGAUGCAGCCAUGCCGCGUGAAUGAAGAAGGCCUUCGGGUUGUAAAGUUCUUUCGGUGACGAGGAAGGUUGAUAGGUUAAUAGCCUAUCAAAUUGACGUUACUCACAGAAGAAGCACCGGCUAACUCCGUG
rnacentral:rRNA from 1 species